rnacentral:rRNA from 1 species
AUGAAGACCGAGCUCCGAGUAGACGCCUCCGGGAAGGUGCUCGCUCUGAUUCCCAAGACGCCGGCUGGAGAAUCCAGCCGACGCCCGCACCAGAACGACCACAAGCGCAAGGCUCCCCUGCCGCCUUCCACCAAUCGGCAGGUGGCCACAGUCGAAGACGAACAACCUGAAGGACGGCCCACGCCCAAGAAGCAGAAGGGCGGCAGGCCGGCUUGGCAGCCGGCUUUCUCCUACGAGCAAGCACUUGAUGCCUCCUGCAAGUUUCACAGCGGCGCGAAGCCUUCAAACAACACGACCAGAAAAUGUCGUUGGCUCACUCGGAUCUCCAAGGGUGAGGGGAUGGCGCCGCCUCCGCCUGCUGGUCAGCCGCCUCCGGCUCCUCCGCAGCCGGCCGCUCGACCAGCGGUCGGGGCAGUUCAAGACGAGUACUCCGACGAGCAUGCCGCCUACGUCGUCUUCACCAGCCAGCCAGAAGAUCGGCGUAGCCGGCGCCGACAACACCAAGAAGUCAACGCAGUCGCCUCCAACAACCCAAAAUUCAUGCACUGGUCAGAAAGGUCUAUUAACUGGAGCCGGACAGAUCACCCAGAGGUGAUGCCGUCUCCCGGCUCCUACGCAUUGGUUCUGGACGCAACCCUCGCUACGAAAAGGCAAGCCGCCCGUUUCUCCCAUGUGCUGAUAGAUGGUGGGAGCAGCAUCAAUAUCCUAUACCGCGACACCAUGGAGAAGCUGAGCAUCAAGACAAAGCAGCUCGUGCCCAGUCGGACUGUGUUCCAUGGCAUCGUACCCGGCUUGUCCUGCUCCCCAAUCGGCAAGAUCAAGAUAGAUGUCCUCUUCGGGGACAAAGAUCAUUUCCGCCGAGAGGCGGUGUGGUUUGAAGUGAUGGAUCUAGAGAGCCCUUACCACGCGUUGCUUGGCCGACCUGCCCUGACCAAGUUCAUGGCUGUACCCCAUUACGCCUACCUCAAGAUGAAGAUACCAAGUUCCAAGGGCAUCAUCAACAUAGCCGGGCACUACAAGAAAUCCUCCGAGUGCGCGGCUGCCAGUGAUACGUCUCCAACGUAUCUAUAA